GACGAACGCUGGCGGCGUGCUUAACACAUGCAAGUCGAACGGAAAGGCCCUGCUUUUGUGGGGUGCUCGAGUGGCGAACGGGUGAGUAACACGUGAGUAACCUGCCCUUGACUUUGGGAUAACUUCAGGAAACUGGGGCUAAUACCGGAUAGGAGCUCCUGCUGCAUGGUGGGGGUUGGAAAGUUUCGGCGGUUGGGGAUGGACUCGCGGCUUAUCAGCUUGUUGGUGGGGUAGUGGCUUACCAAGGCUUUGACGGGUAGCCGGCCUGAGAGGGUGACCGGCCACAUUGGGACUGAGAUACGGCCCAGACUCCUACGGGAGGCAGCAGUGGGGAAUAUUGCACAAUGGGCGGAAGCCUGAUGCAGCAACGCCGCGUGCGGGAUGACGGCCUUCGGGUUGUAAACCGCUUUCGCCUGUGACGAAGCGUGAGUGACGGUAAUGGGUAAAGAAGCACCGGCUAACUACGUGCCAGCAGCCGCGGUGAUACGUAGGGUGCGAGCGUUGUCCGGAUUUAUUGGGCGUAAAGGGCUCGUAGGUGGUUGAUCGCGUCGGAAGUGUAAUCUUGGGGCUUAACCCUGAGCGUGCUUUCGAUACGGGUUGACUUGAGGAAGGUAGGGGAGAAUGGAAUUCCUGGUGGAGCGGUGGAAUGCGCAGAUAUCAGGAGGAACACCAGUGGCGAAGGCGGUUCUCUGGGCCUUUCCUGACGCUGAGGAGCAAAAGCGUGGGGAGCGAACAGGCUUAGAUACCCUGGUAGUCCACGCUGUAAACGGUGGGUACUAGGUGUGGGGUCCAUUCCACGGGUUCCGUGCCGUAGCUAACGCUUUAAGUACCCCGCCUGGGGAGUACGGCCGCAGGGCUAAAACUCAAAGGAAUUGACGGGGCCCCGCACAAGCGGCGGAGCAUGCGGAUUAAUUCGAUGCAACGCGUAGAACCUUACCUGGGUUUGACAUGGAUCGGGAGUGCUCAGAGAUGGGUGUGCCUCUUUUGGGGUCGGUUCACAGGUGGUGCAUGGCUGUCGUCAGCUCGUGUCGUGAGAUGUUGGGUUAAGUCCCGCAACGAGCGCAACCCUUGUUCACUGUUGCCAGCACGUUAUGGUGGGGACUCAGUGGAGACCGCCGGGGUCAACUCGGAGGAAGGUGGGGAUGACGUCAAGUCAUCAUGCCCCUUAUGUCCAGGGCUUCACGCAUGCUACAAUGGCUGGUACAGAGAGUGGCGAGCCUGUGAGGGUGAGCGAAUCUCGGAAAGCCGGUCUCAGUUCGGAUUGGGGUCUGCAACUCGACCUCAUGAAGUCGGAGUCGCUAGUAAUCGCAGAUCAGCAACGCUGCGGUGAAUACGUUCCCGGG
rnacentral:rRNA from 1 species